CGACCUUUUAAAAAUUGUCCAGAGAGGCAAACAAGGGAACGUAAGCAUAGCCAGCACAUAAGUUUUAUGAUGCCUUAGCUUCGUGCACCCUAAAUUGCCUCGCUUCUGACAGAAGUGAGGCUUUUUUAU
rfam:Caryophanon tenue strain DSM 14152 DSM_14152_R1_001_contig_11, whole genome shotgun sequence.